rnacentral:rRNA from 1 species
UACAGAGGUCCCAAGCGUUGUUCGGAUUCACUGGGCGUUAAAGGGGUGCGUAGGUGGUGGGGGUAAGUCGGAUGUGAAAUCUCCGAGCUACAACUCGGAAACUGCAUUGGAAACUACCCUGCUAGAGGGUCGGAGGGGGGGACUGGAAUACUUGGUGUAGCAGUGAAAUGCGUAGAUAUCGAGAGGAACACCAGUGGCGAAGGCGAGUCCCUGGACAACUCCUGACGCUGAGGCACGAAAGCUAGGGGGAGCAAACAGG